GGUUAAGCGACUAAGCGUACACGGUGGAUGCCCUGGCAGUCAGAGGCGAUGAAGGACGUGCUAAUCUGCGAUAAGCGUCGGUAAGGUGAUAUGAACCGUUAUAACCGGCGAUUUCCGAAUGGGGAAACCCAGUGUGAUUCGUCACACUAUCAUUAACUGAAUCCAUAGGUUAAUGAGGCGAACCGGGGGAACUGAAACAUCUAAGUACCCCGAGGAAAAGAAAUCAACCGAGAUUCCCCCAGUAGCGGCGAGCGAACGGGGAGCAGCCCAGAGCCUGAAUCAGUGUGUGUGUUAGUGGAAGCGUCUGGAAAGGCGCGCGAUACAGGGUGACAGCCCCGUACACAAAAAUGCACAUGCUGUGAGCUCGAUGAGUAGGGCGGGACACGUGGUAUCCUGUCUGAAUAUGGGGGGACCAUCCUCCAAGGCUAAAUACUCCUGACUGACCGAUAGUGAACCAGUACCGUGAGGGAAAGGCGAAAAGAACCCCGGCGAGGGGAGUGAAAAAGAACCUGAAACCGUGUACGUACAAGCAGUGGGAGCACGCUUAGGCGUGUGACUGCGUACCUUUUGUAUAAUGGGUCAGCGACUUAUAUUCUGUAGCAAGGUUAACCGAAUAGGGGAGCCGAAGGGAAACCGAGUCUUAACUGGGCGUUAAGUUGCAGGGUAUAGACCCGAAACCCGGUGAUCUAGCCAUGGGCAGGUUGAAGGUUGGGUAACACUAACUGGAGGACCGAACCGACUAAUGUUGAAAAAUUAGCGGAUGACUUGUGGCUGGGGGUGAAAGGCCAAUCAAACCGGGAGAUAGCUGGUUCUCCCCGAAAGCUAUUUAGGUAGCGCCUCGUGAAUUCAUCUCCGGGGGUAGAGCACUGUUUCGGCAAGGGGGUCAUCCCGACUUACCAACCCGAUGCAAACUGCGAAUACCGGAGAAUGUUAUCACGGGAGACACACGGCGGGUGCUAACGUCCGUCGUGAAGAGGGAAACAACCCAGACCGCCAGCUAAGGUCCCAAAGUCAUGGUUAAGUGGGAAACGAUGUGGGAAGGCCCAGACAGCCAGGAUGUUGGCUUAGAAGCAGCCAUCAUUUAAAGAAAGCGUAAUAGCUCACUGGUCGAGUCGGCCUGCGCGGAAGAUGUAACGGGGCUAAACCAUGCACCGAAGCUGCGGCAGCGACGCUUAUGCGUUGUUGGGUAGGGGAGCGUUCUGUAAGCCUGCGAAGGUGUGCUGUGAGGCAUGCUGGAGGUAUCAGAAGUGCGAAUGCUGACAUAAGUAACGAUAAAGCGGGUGAAAAGCCCGCUCGCCGGAAGACCAAGGGUUCCUGUCCAACGUUAAUCGGGGCAGGGUGAGUCGACCCCUAAGGCGAGGCCGAAAGGCGUAGUCGAUGGGAAACAGGUUAAUAUUCCUGUACUUGGUGUUACUGCGAAGGGGGGACGGAGAAGGCUAUGUUGGCCGGGCGACGGUUGUCCCGGUUUAAGCGUGUAGGCUGGUUUUCCAGGCAAAUCCGGAAAAUCAAGGCUGAGGCGUGAUGACGAGGCACUACGGUGCUGAAGCAACAAAUGCCCUGCUUCCAGGAAAAGCCUCUAAGCAUCAGGUAACAUCAAAUCGUACCCCAAACCGACACAGGUGGUCAGGUAGAGAAUACCAAGGCGCUUGAGAGAACUCGGGUGAAGGAACUAGGCAAAAUGGUGCCGUAACUUCGGGAGAAGGCACGCUGAUAUGUAGGUGAAGUGAUUUACUCAUGGAGCUGAAAUCAGUCGAAGAUACCAGCUGGCUGCAACUGUUUAUUAAAAACACAGCACUGUGCAAACACGAAAGUGGACGUAUACGGUGUGACGCCUGCCCGGUGCCGGAAGGUUAAUUGAUGGGGUCAGCGCAAGCGAAGCUCUUGAUCGAAGCCCCGGUAAACGGCGGCCGUAACUAUAACGGUCCUAAGGUAGCGAAAUUCCUUGUCGGGUAAGUUCCGACCUGCACGAAUGGCGUAAUGAUGGCCAGGCUGUCUCCACCCGAGACUCAGUGAAAUUGAACUCGCUGUGAAGAUGCAGUGUACCCGCGGCAAGACGGAAAGACCCCGUGAACCUUUACUAUAGCUUGACACUGAACAUUGAGCCUUGAUGUGUAGGAUAGGUGGGAGGCUUUGAAGUGUGGACGCCAGUCUGCAUGGAGCCGACCUUGAAAUACCACCCUUUAAUGUUUGAUGUUCUAACGUUGACCCGUAAUCCGGGUUGCGGACAGUGUCUGGUGGGUAGUUUGACUGGGGCGGUCUCCUCCUAAAGAGUAACGGAGGAGCACGAAGGUUGGCUAAUCCUGGUCGGACAUCAGGAGGUUAGUGCAAUGGCAUAAGCCAGCUUGACUGCGAGCGUGACGGCGCGAGCAGGUGCGAAAGCAGGUCAUAGUGAUCCGGUGGUUCUGAAUGGAAGGGCCAUCGCUCAACGGAUAAAAGGUACUCCGGGGAUAACAGGCUGAUACCGCCCAAGAGUUCAUAUCGACGGCGGUGUUUGGCACCUCGAUGUCGGCUCAUCACAUCCUGGGGCUGAAGUAGGUCCCAAGGGUAUGGCUGUUCGCCAUUUAAAGUGGUACGCGAGCUGGGUUUAGAACGUCGUGAGACAGUUCGGUCCCUAUCUGCCGUGGGCGCUGGAGAACUGAGGGGGGCUGCUCCUAGUACGAGAGGACCGGAGUGGACGCAUCACUGGUGUUCGGGUUGUCAUGCCAAUGGCACUGCCCGGUAGCUAAAUGCGGAAGAGAUAAGUGCUGAAAGCAUCUAAGCACGAAACUUGCCCCGAGAUGAGUUCUCCCUGAGACUUUAAGUCUCCUGAAGGAACGUUGAAGACGACGACGUUGAUAGGCCGGGUGUGUAAGCGCAGCGAUGCGUUGAGCUAACCGGUACUAAUGAACCGUGAGGCUUAACCUU
rnacentral:rRNA from 1 species